rnacentral:rRNA from 1 species
ACUUACUGUGGGAGUAACCUGCCGAAACGGACAGACUAAUAACCGCAUAGUCUUCGAUGACGGCAUCAGAUUUGAAGUAAAGAUUUAUCGGUAAUGGAUGGGGGAUGCGUCUGAUUAGCUUGUUGGCGGGGUAACGGCCCACCAAGGCGACGAUCAGUAGGGGGUUCUGAGAGGAAGGUCCCCCACAUUGGAACUGAGACACGGUCCAAACUCCUACGGGAGGCAGCAGCG